rnacentral:rRNA from 1 species
UACGAAGGGGGCUAGCGUUGUUCGGAAUUACUGGGCGUAAAGCGCACGUAGGCGGAUCGAUCAGUCAGGGGUGAAAUCCCAGGGCUCAACCCUGGAACUGCCUUUGAUACUGUCGAUCUGGAGUAUGGAAGAGGUGAGUGGAAUUCCGAGUGUAGAGGUGAAAUUCGUAGAUAUUCGGAGGAACACCAGUGGCGAAGGCGGCUCACUGGCCCAUUACUGACGCUGAGGCACGAAAGCGUGGGGAGCAAACAGG